UAAUCAUUAGUUUCUUAAUUAGAAGCUUGUAUGAACGGUUGGACGAGGAAAUUUCUGUCUCAUAUUUAUUUUAUUUGAAUUUUAUCUUUAAGUUAAAAAGCUUAAAUUUUUUUGAAAGACGAGAAGACCCUAUAGAGUUUUAUAUUUAUUUGGCUAUUAAAUAAUUUGUAUAUUUUUCUUGUUAGGCAAAUAAGUAUUUUAUUGGGGUGAUAGGAAAAUUAAAAUAACUUUUCUUUUUUUUAUCCAUUGAUUUAUGAGUGUAUGAUCCAAUUUUAUUGAUUAUAAGAUUAAAUUACCUUAGGGAUAACAGCGUUAUUUUACUAGAGAGUUCAAAUCGAAAGUAAAGUUUGCGACCUCGAUGUUGGAUUAAAAUUUAGUGUUGGUGUAGAAGCUGAUAUUUUGAGUCUGUUCGACUCUUAAAAUUUU
rnacentral:rRNA from 1 species